rnacentral:rRNA from 1 species
GAUGAACGCUAGCGGCAGGCUUAAUACAUGCAAGUCGAGGGGUAGCAAGAUUGUAGCAAUACAAUUGUUGACGACCGGCAAACGGGUGCGGAACACGUACACAACCUUCCUACAAGUGGGGAAUAGCCCAGAGAAAUUUGGAUUAAUACCCCGUAACAUAGCGAUGUGGCAUCACAUUGCUAUUAUAGCUUCGGCGCUAGUUGAUGGGUGUGCGGCUGAUUAGGUAGUUGGCGGGGUAACGGCCCACCAAGUCUACGAUCAGUAGCUGAUGUGAGAGCAUGAUCAGCCACACGGGCACUGAGACACGGGCCCGACUCCUACGGGAGGCAGCAGUAAGGAAUAUUGGACAAUGGACGCAAGUCUGAUCCAGCCAUGCCGCGUGAAGGAUUAGGGUCCUCUGGAUUGUAAACUUCUUUUAUAAGGGACGAAAAAAGGUCUUUCUAGAUCGUCUGACGGUACCUUAUGAAUAAGCACCGGCUAACUCCGUGCCAGCAGCCGCCGUAAUAC